UGAGUAACACGUGAGUAACCUGCCCCCGAGUUCGGGAUAGCCCGUGGAAACGCGGAUUAAUACCGGAUGAGGAAGGGAACUGCAUAGUUCCCGCUCUAAAGUUUUUUCGCUCGGGGAUGGGCUCGCGGCCCAUUAGCUUGUUGGCGGGGUAAUGGCCCACCAAGGCUAUGACGGGUAGGUGGUCUGAGAGGAUGGUCACCCACACUGGGACUGAGACACUGCCCAGACUCC
rnacentral:rRNA from 1 species